UACAGAGGUCUCAAGCGUUGUUCGGAUUCAUUGGGCGUAAAGGGUGCGUCGGUGGUGGCGCAAGUCUGGUGUGAAAUCUCGGAGCUCAACUCCGAAAUUGCACCGGAUACUGCGUUACUCGAGGACUGUAGAGGAGAUCGGAAUUCACGGUGUAGCAGUGAAAUGCGUAGAUAUCGUGAGGAAGACCAGUUGCGAAGGCGGAUCUCUGGGCAGUUCCUGACACUGAGGCACGAAGGCCAGGGGAGCAAACGGG
rnacentral:rRNA from 1 species